rnacentral:rRNA from 2 species
CAUUUGGAAACAGAUGCUAAUACCGCAUAACAGCGUUGUUCGCAUGAACAACGCUUAAAAGAUGGCUUCUCGCUAUCACUUCUGGAUGGACCUGCGGUGCAUUAGCUUGUUGGUGGGGUAACGGCCUACCAAGGCGAUGAUGCAUAGCCGAGUUGAGAGACUGAUCGGCCACAAUGGGACUGAGACACGGCCCAUACUCCUACGGGAGGCAGCAGUAGGGAAUCUUCCACAAUGGGCGCAAGCCUGAUGGAGCAACACCGCGUGAGUGAAGAAGGGUUUCGGCUCGUAAAGCUCUGUUGUUAAAGAAGAACACGUAUGAGAGUAACUGUUCAUACGUUGACGGUAUUUAACCAGAAAGUCACGGCUAACUACGUGCCAGCAGCCGCGGUAAUACGUAGGUGGCAAGCGUUAUCCGGAUUUAUUGGGCGUAAAGAGAGUGCAGGCGGUUUUCUAAGUCUGAUGUGAAAGCCUUCGGCUUAACCGGAGAAGUGCAUCGGAAACUGGAUAACUUGAGUGCAGAAGAGGGUAGUGGAACUCCAUGUGUAGCGGUGGAAUGCGUAGAUAUAUGGAAGAACACCAGUGGCGAAGGCGGCUACCUGGUCUGCAACUGACGCUGAGACUCGAAAGCAUGGGUAGCGAACAGGAUUAGAUACCCUGGUAGUCCAUGCCGUAAACGAUGAGUGCUAGGUGUUGGAGGGUUUCCGCCCUUCAGUGCCGGAGCUAACGCAUUAAGCACUCCGCCUGGGGAGUACGACCGCAAGU